rnacentral:rRNA from 1 species
UACGUAGGGUGCAAGCGUUAUCCGGAAUUAUUGGGCGUAAAGAGCUCGUAGGCGGUUUGUCGCGUCUGCUGUGAAAACUGGAGGCUCAACCUCCAGCCUGCAGUGGGUACGGGCAGACUAGAGUGCGGUAGGGGAGAUUGGAAUUCCUGGUGUAGUGGUGAAAUGCGUAGAGAUCCGGAGGAACACCAGUGGCGAAGGCGACACGCUGGGCCAUACCUGACGCUAAAGCGCGACAGCAUGGGGAGCAAACGGG